UUUGGAGAGUUUGAUCCUGGCUCAGGACGAACGCUGGCGGCGUGCCUAAUACAUGCAAGUCGAGCGGACUUGAAGGAGUGCUUGCACUCUUGAGAGUUAGCGGCGGACGGGUGAGUAACACGUAGGCAACCUGCCCUUAAGACUGGGAUAACUACCGGAAACGGUAGCUAAUACCGGAUAAUUUAUUACAUAGCAUUAUGUGAUAAUGAAAGACGG
rnacentral:rRNA from 1 species